AACAAAUCAAUUUUUCAGUUUUUAGAUACAAUGUUUAACUCUUCGUCUUAUUCAAAUUUUUUUACGAUUAAUAAUUUUAUUUUUAUUAGAUGAAAAAACAUGAAUAGUACUUUAUAUGUGACUAAUUUUUUUAAAAUUUCUUAAAUUUUUUUCAAAUAAGACGGAUGUCAAACGCUCGACACAAAAACUGA
rnacentral:pre_miRNA from 1 species